rnacentral:lncRNA from 1 species
UUGGAUUCUAAACCGGUUUCACUGCUCCCGGGAUUGCCUUGCGAGGCAUUACAGAGAAGACUGUUGCAAAGGGAUCGUUCUCAACCAACACGAGCCUUUUCUUGGGAAACAGUUGCUGCUACCUCCUAUACUCUUCAUUUUGCUGGUACGCGGGCGAAAGACGUGUGAGGAAAGUACAGACAACCCUUAGCUAAGAGACACGAGAAAAAUAGAGGGCAAGUGGAGAGAGAGAGCUGAAAGUGAAAACAAAGCCGGCAAGCAACCUUCUGGACUACAUUACCCACUUGCCCCUCAAGCCCGCCUCCCUCCGGGCUUGUGUUUAUACUGAUUGGGGNGUCGCCUUCCCAGUUUUGCCUCCUGGUCCUUCGCGAUUGGCUGGGCCUGGCCGCCGCUCGGCGUUGCCACAGAGACGCGCCGCGAAGCCCAGAAAAAAAGGAGGCGCUAGGACCGCAGCGGAUAGCGCGGCAGGCAGCUGCCGUAGCAGCUGCCGCUGCCGUCUCUCUGCGAUGCUCGGUCCCUUCGCCGGAGCUUGCAGAGGCGAGACCGGGACUAGCAAGGUAUCUCAGGAGUUCCUUUCGGCAAAGGAAAUGGCACCAGCUGUGCAAUCCUGACCCGGGCGCGCUCCGAAGUGCUUGUUCCCAGAAAAAUGAUGUCAGGAGCGCUGCACCCUGA